GAUGAACGCUAGCGGCAGGCUUAACACAUGCAAGUCGAGGGGUAUAGUUCUUCGGAAUUAGAGACCGGCGCACGGGUGCGUAACGCGUAUGCAAUCUACCUUUCACAGAGGGAUAGCCCCAGAGAAAUUUGGAUUAAUACCUCAUAGUAUAGCAGUUUCGCAUGAAACCACUAUUAAAGUCACAACGGUGAAAGAUGAGCAUGCGUCCCAUUAGCUAGUUGGUAAGGUAACGGCUUACCAAGGCAACGAUGGGUAGGGGUCCCUGAGAGGGAGAUCCCCCACACUGGUACUGAGACACGGACCAGACUCCUACGGGAGGCAGCAGUGAGGAAUAUUGGACAAUGGGCGCAAGCCUGAUCCAGCCAUGCCGCGUGCAAGGAUGACGGUCCU
rnacentral:rRNA from 1 species